CAGCCGCCACGGGAAUACGAAGGGGGCUAGCGUUACUCGGAAUUACUGGGCGUAAAGGGCGCGUAGGCGGCACGAUUAGUCAGACGUGAAAUUCCUGGGCUCAACCUGGGGACUGCGCUUGAUACGGUCGAGCUAGAGGAUGGAAGAGGGUUGUGGAAUUCCCAGUGUAGAGGUGAAAUUCGUAGAUAUUGGGAAGAACACCGGUGGCGAAGGCGGCAACCUGGUCCAUUACUGACGCUGAGGCGCGACAGCGUGGGGAGCAACCAGGAUUAGAGACCCGCGUAGUCCCUGUCUCUUAUAC
rnacentral:rRNA from 1 species